UGCGUAGGCGGCUCUUUAAGUCAGUGGUGAAAGACCCCGGCUCAACCGGGGCAGUGCCAUUGAUACUGGGGUGCUUGAGUGUUGGAGGGGUACAUGGAAUUGAUGGUGUAGCGGUGAAAUGCAUAGAUACCAUCAGGAACACCGAUAGCGAAGGCAUUGUACUGGCCAACAACUGACGCUGAGGCACGAAAGCAUGGGUAGCGAACAGGAUUAGAUACCCUGGUAGUCC
rnacentral:rRNA from 1 species